GGAUGUGAGGGCAAUCUGGCUGCGACAUCUGCCACCCCAUUCAUUGCCAGGGUUGCUUCGGCUGAUCUGGCUAGCUAGGUGGGUGUCCCCUUCCUCCCUCACCACUUCACGUAUGUCCCUCCCAAAGCUGCGUGCUUGGUCAAAGCGACAACCAUUCCUAAUAGAGAAGGACUGUUCUUUGGUCAAGGGUAUAUGAGUAGUUGCGCUCCCUGCUAGAAUCUCCAAACAAGCUCUCAAAAGUUCUUACAAUAUAUGAUAGUUGAAUUCACUCCUUCCAUCAUUCUCCUUCAUCCCUCCUCGAUGCAUCACUUAUAUAUUAUAUUCAGACUGAGUUAAAAG
rnacentral:snRNA from 1 species